UACAGAUGACUGAUGCCCGGUGAGAAGGUGAACCCUCGUCAGCUGCACGAAAGGAACCACGAGACAGCUUCUCUCCACACGGAGCAGACAGGAGCAGGGGAGGCAGAGAGAAGCCCCGCCCACAGCAUGUCCGGACACAGAUUUCAGUCUGUGCAGCCCUUACUCAUGUAAGCAUAUAUUAGUGUGGUGUCCAUCUCUUCAGUGUAAGAACCAGAGCUGUGUGGAGAUUUCUGCAUAAGAUGACUGAUGCCCGGUGAGAAGGUGAACCCUCGUCAGCUGCACGAAAGGAACCACGAGACAGAUGACUGAUGCCCGGUGAGAAGGUGAACCCUCGUCAGCUGCACGAAAGGAACCACGAG